GAGGGCAGCUGCAGAGGCCCUUAUUCAAGAACAAUUACAAUUGGGACAUAUAAAUCUUCUACUAGUCCUUGGAGUACACCCAUUUUUGUUAUAAAAAAGAAUUCAGGAAAAUGGAGACUAUUGCAAGAUUGAAGAGAAACUAAUAAAGGUAUCCAACCUAUGGACUCACUCCAGUGUGGAUUGUCAAACCCAAUGUAAUUCCUCAAAAUUUCUCUCUAUAUGUCAUUGACUUAAAGACUGUUUUUUUUAUUAUUCCCCUCUUUCCUGAUGAUUAGGAAAAAUUUGUCUUUAC
rnacentral:sRNA from 1 species